UACGGAGGGCGCAAGCGUUGUUCGGAAUCAUUGGGCGUAAAGCGCGUGUAGGCGGUCUGGUCAGUCGGGUGUGAAAUACUGGAGAUCAACUCCGGAACUGGAUUCGAUACUGCCAGGCUAGAGUCCCGGAGAGCGUGGUGGAAUUCCCGGUGUAGAGGUGAAAUUCGUAGAUAUCGGGAGGAACAUCAGCGGCGAAGGCGGCCACUUGGACGGUGACUGACGCUGAGACGAGAAAUCGUGGGGAGCAAACUGG
rnacentral:rRNA from 1 species